rnacentral:lncRNA from 1 species
GCUGCCAACAAAUUUCAGUAACCCUCUUCUCUAAUUUGAUAUCUCUUUUUCUUGCUGAAUUCUCUAUGAUUUCUAACUGAGAACAUGAUGUUCUCCAGCUUCUCUCCCUCUCUACUCUUUCUGAUUAAGUAGGAGAAUUCAACUACAGCAAAGAAGGAACUGGUGGAUAGGCUUGCUAGGAAAUAAAAUAAAAACCUGCUUGCCACUUGUCAACUUCCUAAAGAA